UUUGACUUCCUUGAUUGCAAUUCUAAACCAAAAACAAACGCUGUCAAACCUAGAAGGGGAUAUUAGGGGCGGAGUCAAGACCCGGGAGCUUAGAACUGAGACGUGGGAGCUCAGAGACGAUUCCAAGGAGCUCUCAACUCGUUUCAUCUCUGAAGCUAAGUCCACCGAGCUCAAAGCUGAUGACAAUCGCCAAAACGGUGUAAACAAGUAGCAACAGAAUGAUAUCCAUAGCCACAUGAAUACAAACAAAAGUUUAAACAUGUAGCUCCAAGCUAAUAAUAAUAGCCACAAGGGUAUAAACAAGUAGCUCGAGCUGGUGACCAUGGCGAAUAGCUUUCCGAGGGAGUAUACAAGUAGCUCGAAGAUGAUGACGAUGGUGACGAGUUUUUUUUCUAACGUGUAGACGAUUUUUUUUCGCUGAUGACGAUGGCGAAUAGCUUUCCACCAUGAUCAAAUGUUUGAUACAAGAAAAGCUGGCUUGGGUUUUUGUUUUUGUUUUUGUUUUAUUAAUUUAUAAGUAGGUUUUAUUUAUAUUUAUUAAAAAGAGAAACGGUCUGAGAAAUAUUUUGGUGGGAUAUUUUUUUUUGUUUCAACAAAACUAGGUCCGGAUCCGCGCUACAGCAAAUUAUCGUGAAUUGUUAUUUGGUUUUAAUCUAAAUAUCAG
rnacentral:lncRNA from 1 species